UACGUAGGGGGCUAGCGUUGUCCGGAAUCAUUGGGCGUAAAGCGCGUGUAGGCGGUCCGGUAAGUCCGCUGUGAAAGUCGAGGGCUCAACCCUCGAAUGCCGGUGGAUACUGUCGGGCUUGAGUACGGGAGAGGCGAGUGGAAUUCCUGGUGUAGCGGUGAAAUGCGCAGAUAUCAGGAGGAACACCAAUAGCGAAGGCAGCUCGCUGGGACGGUAUUGACGCUAAGGCGCGAAAGCGUGGGGAGCAAACAGG
rnacentral:rRNA from 1 species